UCAUGUCCAGAUCGUACAACCCCCCCUGAUGCAAAAAAUGUUUGCGCGCCUGGCGUUGUUAACACACACGACACACUCUUCCCUUGAGGAAAGAUAGUCGCCUUCACGAGUGUCUUACUAUUUCAUUGCAGAGCCCCUCCUCUUGAUGACGACACGUGCACUGUCAGCUACACUUUGCAGUGUCUCACUUAAAUUUUCCCCAAUAUCUUUGUAUCUCCAUUUCAGAUGAAUUGUUCUCUUUCCAAGGGUUGAGGAGAACAUGGUCGUGCUUCAAGUGAAGCCACUACAGCCACUGCCUGACAAGUCUUCCACACUGACAGUGGCAGCAGACACACACGAGAGGAUGGUGUGGUGGACAAGAGGAUGCAGGGAGACGGCAGACAGAAUGGAAGCUACAGAUGAAAGAAGAGCAGGUCAAGCCAUGGCAGCAGACAGACACACAGACAGACAGAUUGGAUCAGAAAGAAGUAUUAUUUAGUGAGACAGGCCCACUGGAAGCUGUCAGUCUGCUGCGGCACGUGGCAAGAACCAAGUGUUGAGGAGCACACGUUGUCCCUUCACCAGUCAGCAGGUCUGGGCGGCUCGGAAGUCUCACUACAAACUGGAGACCCGUUCUCUUGGACACAGUUGGAGUCGGACACAAGAUUCAAGAGGGAGUCAUUUUAACGAGAGCUUCAGGCAAAAAAUUCGAGUGGAUUUUCAUUUCUA